UGGGGAAUUUUGGGCAAUGGGCGAAAGCCUGACCCAGCAACGCCGCGUGAAGGAUGAAGUAUUUCGGUAUGUAAACUUCGAAAGAAUAGGAAGAAUAAAUGACGGUACUAUUUAUAAGGUCCGGCUAACUACGUGCCAGCAGCCGCGGUAAUACGUAGGGACCAAGCGUUGUUCGGAUUUACUGGGCGUAAAGGGCGCGUAGGCGGCAAUUCAAGUCAUCUGUGAAAUCUCCGGGCUUAACUCGGAACGGUCAGAUGAUACUGCUUUGCUAGAGUGCAGAAGGGGCAAUCGGAAUUCUUGGUGUAGCGGUGAAAUGCGUAGAUAUCAAGAGGAACACCUGAGGCGAAGGCGGGUUGCUGGGCUGAUACUGACGCUGAGGCGCGAAAGCUAGGGUAGCAAACGGGAUUAGAUACCCGGGUAGUCCCUGAGCGGGCUGGCAAGGCGCAU
rnacentral:rRNA from 1 species